UAAUGUAUUUGCUUCAUGGAUACAGGUCUGAGAAUCAUCAGGCCUACACAUUUCACAGCACUCACCAUAGCACAUACCAUCCCCAAAGUCCAUAACCCAGCCACCGCAUCCCAACACCCC